UAUUUUUUUUUUUUUUUCAUUUUUCUUUUUUUAAAGGGGGAUGUAGAAAAAAUUAGUGAGAGUGAGGUGACUACAGGAUAUCUUCCAAUACUAUAUAUAUUUUUGAAACAUAAGAUUAGAAGGCGGGCGUCAUACAUGAAGUAAUGCUACAAAACCACACAGAUAGGGUAACUAACAGAAGGUAUUAAAAAAUGAAUAAAUGGUCUAAAGGAUCAAAGGUCAAGAAUUGAGAUUUGUGGUUGGAUAGGGCACAGGAAGAGGAAUAUAUAGGAAAAAAAACGAGGCUGGCAAGGUAGGAGGAGAGCUGAGGAAGGCCACUAAGUAAAAGAGAUGAUUCAAUAAAGAAAACCAAAUAGGUUACAUGUAAAACAAUGUCAAGAUGGGCCCCCUGGCUGGCUCAAUAAGCAUGUGACUCUUGAUCUCAGGAAUGUAAGUUCAAGCCCUAGAUUGGGUGUGGAGAUUACUUAAAAAAUAAGAGUCCUUAAAAGACAUGUUAAGAUGUAUGUGUUCAACACAAAAACUACCUUUUUGAUUAUAUAAAUCUCUGAGCAAAUAAUUAUACGGAUGGAGCAUUUAAAGUAACUCCUCGAUUUUAGUCCCUGAUUUCUUUGCCGUUACUUAGAUUCAUUCUGAGUUACCUAUACAAGUAGAGAGCACCUAAUGAGGACCAUCUAUAUAAAUUCCUUUCGUAUGUGUGAAGAUGAUGAAUUGUUUUUGAAGCCAUUGUUUUCUAAAUUAAAUGGCUUUAAUUCCUUAUGACUUAUAGCCUUUCCUCCCCCACGCCUUGCAUUGCUGUCUUAUGAACUCUCCCAAUUAUUAGAUAUUGAUUGUUCCUAGAAGAAAAAAUCUGAUUGUAGGGUCUGCCUGAAACUAUAGAAAUAGAGAAAACAUAUGCAAGCUCUGAACUCUGAACACAAUGAGAUGUUUAGACUUAUUAGUAAUUUUGGUCAGUAAGGAUAAACUUGUUUCAGUAAAUUUCAGGACCUCAUUUUCUGUAUUUUUGUUUUUUUACAUUGUUAAGGCUAAGCUUCUAUACUCUUUAGAAUGUUGACUGAAAGGCAAGAUGCAAUCCACAGCAUUGGGACUGCUGUCUGAUAGCAACCAAAAGAACAAUAUUCAUUGGCAUCAACAAGGAAAAUAAGAAAUAUGAAAUAAAAAGAAACAAUGGAAAUGCACUUGCUAUAAUCCUCAGUAUGCUAUGUUGCAGUGGGAAGUUAUUUUCAGAGAAACAAUAUUGUGAACAGAAUGCAUCCAGUUCUGCUUAUCUUGUUAGCUAUUUUAUUAUUUGUAUAGUAAGUUAAAGGUAAGAACAUUUCAAAGAUGAACAGAGACAUCAGGGCUUCAGGUCCCAAAUAUCAGAUGGAAGUAAUGCAGCCUGUGUCACAAAUUUUUUUCCAGCCUUCCCAAGUUUUACCUCAAGUCCUAGGAUGUUGGUAAUACAGUUACAACUAUGUUUCGAUACUUAUUUCUAUAUAAGAUUUUGGGCUUAUAUAGAAAUACAUUUGGUCUACAAUAGUGGAAGUUUUAUCCAUUUUAUUUUUUUAAGGCCAUCCAGGAAAGGUCUAAGCUAUUUCUCCAAUACCCUUUGAUAUCCUGAGGUACUAAAUGUUCCUUCAAGCUGCUCUUGCUUAUGCAGGGAAUGGCAACUGCCUAGAAGGAUCCAGCCUACCACAUAUUUUUAUUAUGGUCAUAUUUUCUUUUUUUUUUUUUAAGAUUUUUAUUUAUUUAUCCAUGAGAGACACAGAGAGAUGCAGAGAGAGAGGCAGAGACACUAGCAGAAGGAGAAGCAGGCUCCACGUAAGGACCCCAAUGUGGGACUUGAUCCAGGGUCUCCAGGAUCACGACCUGGGCUGAAGUCAGUGCUAAGCUGCUGAGCCACCUGGGAUGCCCUGGUCAUAUUCUCUAAUAAAGAGACUGGUAAACAAAGACAAUAUUGUUGAGCUUCUAACAGACAAGACACCUAAAUACAUUUUCAUAGCUGUUUUAUGACAUAAAGAUCAUUUUCAUUUUAUAUCUGAGUAAACAGACUCAGAGAAGUUAGUAACUGGCCAAAGGUCCUGUCACUUGUAAAAUGGCAGAAGUAGGAGUUGAAGCCAAGAUGAUCUACCUAUAAAUAUCUUGUUCUUUAGUUGGUCUAAUCAGAUAGAGAGGAGUUUAAGUUAAGACAAGGUAUGAACAUGCCUAUGAAGUCACUGGCAGCCAAACAUAAGGCUUCUGUAUAAAAGGGUUAGUCCAGCCAAACUUCUUCACAUUAUGAGACUAACCCUGUUCCCACAAAGCUGCCAUGCUACCCAAAGCACAGACAGUUCCCGUAGGAAGAGAGGGAUUAAAAUGCGGGUCCAUGAAGUUAAAACAAACCAAUCAACCAAAACCAAACAAACAGAUAAGCAUUACUCAUUCUUCCUGGUUUUUCUUUUUCCAAUU
rnacentral:lncRNA from 1 species